rnacentral:sRNA from 1 species
CCGGGUUAGGAGGCCUCACAGUGACCCUGUCCCUCACCCUGCAGAAUGGCAUUGUGCCCAUCGUGGAGCCUGAGAUCCUCCCUGAUGGGGACCAUGACUUGAAGCGCUGCCAGUAUGUGACCGAGAAGGUGCUGGCUGCUGUCUACAAGGCUCUGAGUGACCACCACAUCUACCUGGAAGGCACCUUGCUGAAGCCCAACAUGGUCACCCCAGGCCACGCUUGCACCCAGAAGUUUUCUCACGAGGAGAUUGCCAUGGCGACCGUCACAGCGCUGCGCCGCACAGUGCCCCCCGCUGUCACUGGGAUCACCUUCCUGUCUGGAGGCCAGAGUGAGGAAGAGGCGUCCAUCAACCUCAAUGCCAUUAACAAGUGCCCCCUGCUGAAGCCCUGGGCCCUGACCUUCUCCUACGGCCGAGCCCUGCAGGCCUCUGCCCUGAAGGCCUGGGGCGGGAAGAAGGAGAACCUGAAGGCUGCGCAGGAGGAGUACGUCAAGCGAGCCCUGGCCAACAGCCUCGCCUGUCAAGGAAAGUACACUCCAAGCGGUCAGGCUGGGGCUGCUGCCAGCGAGUCCCUCUUCGUCUCUAACCACGCCUAUUAAGCGGAGGUGUUCCCAGGCUGCCCCCAACACUCCAGGCCCCGCCCCCUCCCACUCUUGAAGAGGGGGCCUCCUCCUCGGGGCUCCAGGCUGGCUUGCCCGCGCUCUUGCCUCCCUCGUGACAGUGGUGUGUGGUGUCGUCUGUGAAUGCUAAGUCCAUCACCCUUUCCAGCACACUGCCAAAUAAACAGCUAUUUAAGGGGGA